rnacentral:rRNA from 1 species
CCUACGGGGGGCAGCAGUGGGGAAUAUUGCUCAAUGGGGGAAAGCCUGAAGCAGCAACGCCGCGUGAAGGAUGAAGGUUUUCGGAUUGUAAACCCCUUUUGGUAGAGAAGAUAAUGACGGUAUCUAACGAAUAAGCACUGGCUAACUCCGUGCCAGCAGCCGCCGGAAUACGCAGGGCGCACGGGUUACUCGGAAUGACUGGGCGUAAAGAGCGCGUAGGCGGGAUAGCAAGUCAGAUGUGAAAUCCUAUGGCUUAACCAUAGAACUGCAUUUGAAACUGUUAUUCUAGAGUAUGGGAGAGGUAGGUGGAAUUCUUGGUGUAGGGGUAAAAUCCGUAGAGAUCAAGAGGAAUACUCAUUGCGAAGGCGACCUGCUAGAACAUAACUGACGCUGAUGCGCGAAAGCGUGGGGAGCAAACAGGAUUAGAUACCCCAGUAGUC